rnacentral:lncRNA from 1 species
AGGACAUUCCAGAGGAGGGCGAGGGACCGCUGGAAAGAGAGGCAGAGGACAUACCUAUGGCUGACUUAUCAGCAGAGCUACUGGAGUAAUAAUCUAGCUAUUAUAUCAUCAAAUUAUAGUUAUUUUUUAUUUUGUCUUCUGUUUUAUUUCUUCUGUUUUUAUUUCUUCUUCUGUUUUUAUUUCUUCUUCUGUUUUGUUUCUUCUGUUUUUAUUUCUUCUGUUUUGUUUCUUCUGUUUUGUUUCUUCUGUUUUGUUUCUUCUUCUGUUUUUAUUUCUUCUGUUUUUAUUUCUUCUUCUGUUUUUAUUUCUUCUGUUUUUAUUUCUUCUUCUGUUUUUAUUUCUUCUUCUGUUUUGUUUCUUCUGUUUUUAUUUCUUCUGUUUUGUUUCUUCUGUUUUGUUUCUUCUGUUUUGUUUCUUCUUCUGUUUUUAUUUCUUCUGUUUUUAUUUCUUCUUCUGUUUUGUUUCUUCUUCUGUUUUGUUUCUUCUGUUUUGUUUCUUCUGUUUUGUUUCUUCUUCUGUUUUUAUUUCUUCUGUUUUUAUUUCUUCUUCUGUUUUUAUUUCUUCUUCUGUUUUGUUUCUUCUUCUGUUUUUAUUUCUUCUUCUGUUUUGUUUCUUCUUCUGCUUUGUUUCUUCUGUUUUGUUUCUUCUUCUGUUUUGUUUCUUCUUCUGUUUUGUUUCUUCUGUUUUGUUUCUUCUGUUUUGUUUCUUCUUCUGUUUUUAUUUCUUCUGUUUUUAUUUCUUCUUCUGUUUUGUUUCUUCUUCUGUUUUUAUUUCUUCUUCUGUUUUGUUUCUUCUGUUUUGUUUCUUCUGUUUUUAUUUCUUCUUCUGUUUUAUUUAUUCUUCUUCUGUUUUGUUUCUUCUUCUGUUUUGUUUCUUCUUCUGUUUUUAUUUCUUCUGUUUUUAUUUCUUCUUCUGUUUUUAUUUCUUCUGUUUUUAUUUCUUCUUCUGUUUUUAUUUCUUCUUCUGUUUUGUUUCUUCUGUUUUUAUUUCUUCUGUUUUGUUUCUUCUGUUUUGUUUCUUCUGUUUUGUUUCUUCUUCUGUUUUUAUUUCUUCUGUUUUUAUUUCUUCUUCUGUUUUGUUUCUUCUUCUGUUUUGUUUCUUCUGUUUUUAUUUCUUCUUCUGUUUUUAUUUCUUCUUCUGUUUUGUUUCUUCUUCUGUUUUUAUUUCUUCUUCUGUUUUGUUUCUUCUUCUGCUUUGUUUCUUCUGUUUUGUUUCUUCUUCUGUUUUGUUUCUUCUUCUGUUUUGUUUCUUCUUCUGUUUUUAUUUCUUCUUCUGUUUUAUUUCUUCUGUUUUAUUUCUUCUUCUGUUUUGUUUCUUCUUCUGUUUUGUUUCUUCUGUUUUGUUUCUUCUGUUUUUAUUUCUUCUUCUGUUUUUAUUUCUUCUUCUGUUUUGUUUCUUCUUCUGUUUUUAUUUCUUCUUCUGUUUUGUUUCUUCUUCUGCUUUGUUUCUUCUGUUUUGUUUCUUCUUCUGUUUUGUUUCUUCUUCUGUUUUGUUUCUUCUUCUGUUUUUAUUUCUUCUUCUGUUUUGUUUCUUCUUCUGUUUUGUUUCUUCUGUUUUGUUUCUUCUGUUUUUAUUUCUUCUGUUUUUAUUUCUUCUUCUGUUUUUAUUUCUUCUUCUGUUUUGUUUCUUCUUCUGUUUUUAUUUCUUCUUCUGUUUUGUUUCUUCUGUUUUUAUUUCUUCUUCUGUUUUAUUUCUUCUUCUAAAAAACUCACUCCGCCUCUUUCUGUGUGUUUCUCUAGCGCAGUGACAGAGCCUCUUGAGGAUCAUGAAGGGGUGCUGUUCCACUCUCUGCUGCCCCCACUGGCCCAACGCAGUAGUGUCACUCACUCAUUCUGGACCCUACUGGAGAUGGUAACUGCCAGGAGACUCUGUGUGCAGCAGGAUGAACCUUAUGGUGACAUCAUCAUUUCACCUGGACACAACUAUGAGGAGGGGAAUGAGAGUGUGUAA